rnacentral:piRNA from 1 species
UCACCUCAAAAGGGAACAAGAAGCCGG